rnacentral:rRNA from 1 species
GAUCAUGGCUCAGGAUGAACGCUAGCUACAGGCUUAACACAUGCAAGUCGAGGGGCAGCAUGACGAUAGCUUGCUAUUGUUGAUGGCGACCGGCGCACGGGUGAGUAACGCGUAUCCAACCUUCCCUAUAGUAGAGGAUAGCCCGGCGAAAGUCGGAUUAAUACUCUAUGUUUUCCAAUGCAGACAUCUAAGUUGGAACAAAGGUUCACCGCUAUAGGAUGGGGAUGCGUCUGAUUAGAUAGUAGGCGGGGUAACGGCCCACCUAGUCGACGAUCAGUAGGGGUUCUGAGAGGAAGGUCCCCCACAUUGGAACUGAGACACGGUCCAAACUCCUACGGGAGGCAGCAGUGAGGAAUAUUGGUCAAUGGGCGAGAGCCUGAACCAGCCAAGUAAGCGUGCAGGAUGACGGCCCUAUGGGUUGUAAACUGCUUUUAUCGGGGGAUAAAGUGAGGGACGUGUCCCUUAUUGUAGGUACCCGAUGAAUAAGGACCGGCUAAUUCCGUGCCAGCCGCUGC